rnacentral:rRNA from 1 species
AUUGAACGCUAGCGGGAUGCUUUACACAUGCAAGUCGAGCGGAGUGGCGGACGGGUGAGUAAUAUAUGGGAACCUGCCCGGUAGAGGGGGAUAACUACUCGAAACGGUGGCUAAUACCGCAUCCUAUUGGAUCAGCCCAUAUGGGAUUAGCUAGUUGGUGGGGUAAAGGCUCACCAAGGCAACGAUCCCUAGCUGGUUUGAGAGGAUGACCAGCCAGACUGGGACUGAGACACGGCCCAGACUCCUACGGGAGGCAGCAGUGGGGAAUUUUGGGCAAUGGGGGAAACCCUGACCCAGCCAUGCCGCGUGAAUGAGGAAGGCCUUCGGGUUGUAAAGUACUUUCGGUAGAGAGGCGUUAUCUGCAGAAUAAGCACCGGCUAACUCCGUGCCAGCAGCCGCGGUAAUAC